rnacentral:rRNA from 1 species
AACCUCCGCAAUGUGAGAAAUCGCGACAGGGGGAUCCCAAGUGCCAUUCUUAACGGGAUGGCUUUUCAUUAGUGUAAAGAGCUUUUGGAAUAAGAGCUGGGCAAGACCGGUGCCAGCCGCCGCGGUAACACCGGCAGCUCUAGUGGUAACAAUUUUUAUUGGGCCUAAAGCGUCCGUAGCCGGUUUAAUAAGUCUCUGGUGAAAUCCUGCAGCUUAACUGUGGGAAUUGCUGGAGAUACUAUUAGACUUGAGACCGGGAGAGGUUAGAGGUACUCCCAGGGUAGAGGUGAAAUUCUGUAAUCCUGGGAGGACCGCCUGUUGCGAAGGCGUCUAACUGGAACGGUUCUGACGGUGAGGGACGAAAGUUAGGGGCGCGAACCGGAUUAGAUACCCGGGUAGUCCUAACUGUAAACGAUGCGGACUUGGUGUUGGGGUGGCUUUGAGCUGCUUCAGUGCCGAAGGGAAGCUGUUAAGUCCGCCGCCUGGGAAGUACGGUCGCAAGACUGAAACUUAAAGGAAUU